rnacentral:tRNA from 1 species
AUUUUUAUAGUGUAAUUCAACAUAUUGUCUUUUCAAGACAGAGAUAUUUUAAAUUAAAAAUA